UCAAGCGAGCUGUGCUGCCUCCAGCUCUGCGCCGCCCGCCGCCCCUCCCGUAGUCCCGCGGCUUUCGAGGGAGCGCUGCGGAGACUCGGGGCCGCCGGGGAAACCUGUGACCCCGCGCAGGAGCGGCGGGGCGGGGGACCGGGAGAAGAUGGCGACGCCGGGAAGCGAACCCCAAGCUUUCGCGCCCGCCCUCUCGGUAACCGCCCUGCACCCGCAUAUCCACCAGCACCACCAGCACCACGGAAGCACGGGCAGCGCGGGCUUCAACCUGCCCUUGAACCGUGGUUUGGAGCGCGCGCUAGAGGAGGCAGCCAAUUCUGGGGGCUUGAACCUGAGCGCCAGGAAGCUGAAGGAAUUUCCCAGGACUGCAGCCCCGGGACAUGACCUCUCGGACACGGUUCAGGCAGGGGCUGAUUCUCAUGGACUUGAGGUUGCUCAUAACAAGAGCACACAAUGCCCAUCCUAAGUCUAAACGCGGAAGCACGACACUGGGUCUGAUGAGAAGAAAUGUAUGAAGUUGUGUCA
rnacentral:lncRNA from 1 species